CAAAGGCUUGGUCCUAACUUUGCUGUCACCUAAAGCUAAAUUUACACAUGCAAGUAUCCGCAACCCCGUGAGGAUGCCCUUAACCCUCUUAUGAGAUCAAGGAGCAGGUAUCAGGCACACUACUGUAGCCCAUUACACCUUGCUUAGCCACACCCCCAAGGGAAUUCAGCAGUGAUAAACAUUAAGCCAUAAGUGCAAACUUGACUUAGUUAAAGCUAAGAGGGCCGGUAAAACUCGUGCCAGCCACCGCGGUUAUACGAGAGGCCCAAGAUGACAGAAACCGGCGUAAAGAGUGGUUAAGACAUAGAGUAAUUAAAGCUAAACCUCUUCAAGGCUGUUAUACGCAUCCGAAGAUAUGAAAGCCCUCUACGAAAGUGGCUUUAAUAUUUCUGAAUCCACGAAAGCUACGGAACAAACUGGGAUUAGAUACCCCACUAUGCAUAGCUGUAAACAUUGAUAACAACUUACCUACAUAUCCGCCCGGGAACUACAAGUACCAACUUGAAACCCAAAGGACUUGGCGGUGCUUUAGACCCACCUAGAGGAGCCUGUUCUAGAACUGAUAACCCCCGUUAAACCUCACCCUCCCUUGUUAUUUCCGCCUAUAUACCGCCGUCGUCAGCUUACCCUGUGAAGGUCUUAUAGUGAGCACAACUGGUACAACCUUAAACGUCAGGUCGAGGUGUAGUAGAUGAGAGGGGAAGCAAUGGGCUACAUUCGUCUACUGACGAACAACGAAUGGUUUAUUGAAAGCAUAAGCCUAAAGGAGGAUUUAGCAGUAAAAAGGAAAUAGAGUGUCCUUUUGAAACUGGCCCUGAAGCGCGCACACACCGCCCGUCACUCUCCCCUAGCUUAAAUCUUAUAAUAACUAAUACAACAACCUAUUAAAGGGGAGGCAAGUCGUAACAUGGUAAGUGUACCGGAAGGUGCACUUGGAAUACA
rnacentral:ncRNA from 1 species